rnacentral:rRNA from 1 species
CGAAUCAUCUGGAAAGAUGAAUCAAAGAAGGUAAUAAUCCUGUAGUCGAAAAUGUUGUCUCUCUUGAGUGGAUCCUGAGUACGACGGAGCACGUGAAAUUCCGUCGGAAUCUGGGAGGACCAUCUCCUAAGGCUAAAUACUCUCUAGUGACCGAUAGUGAACCAGUACCGUGAGGGAAAGGUGAAAAGCACCCCGGAAGGAGAGUGAAAUAGAACCUGAAACCGUGUGCUUACAAGUAGUCAGAGCCCGUUAAUGGGUGAUGGCGUGCCU